rnacentral:rRNA from 1 species
GAUGAACGCUGGCGGCGUGCCUAAUACAUGCAAGUCGAGCGAACGGACGAGAAGCUUGCUUCUCUGAUGUUAGCGGCGGACGGGUGAGUAACACGUGGAUAACCUACCUAUAAGACUGGGAUAACUUCGGGAAACCGGAGCUAAUACCGGAUAAUAUUUUGAACCGCAUGGUUCAAAAGUGAAAGACGGUCUUGCUGUCACUUAUAGAUGGAUCCGCGCUGCAUUAGCUAGUUGGUAAGGUAACGGCUUACCAAGGCAACGAUGCAUAGCCGACCUGAGAGGGUGAUCGGCCACACUGGAAUGGAGCCACGUUCCAGACUCCUACGGGAGGCAGCAGUAGGGAUUCUUCCGCAAGGGGCGAAAGCCUGACGGAGCAACGCGGCGUGAGUGAGGAAGGUCUUCGGAUCGUAAAACUCUGUUAUUAGGAAAGAACAUAUGUGUAAGUACCUGUGCACAUCUUGCCGGUACCUAAUCAGAAGGCCACGGCUAACUACGU